rnacentral:rRNA from 1 species
GUCCUGGCAGUAAACGGUGCGCGUUUGGUGUGGGGUGGUUCGACCCUCCCUGCGCCGAAGCUAACGCGUUAAACGCGCCGCCUGGGAAGUACGAUCGCAAGAUUAGAACUCAAAGAAAUUGACGGGGGCCCGCACAAGCGGUGGAGUAUGUGGCUUAAUUCGAUGCAACGCGAAGAACCUUACCUAGGCUUGACAUGCAUCUCUAAGUCGGUGAAAGCCGGCGAGCGUAGCAAUACGUAAUUUGCACAGGUGCUGCAUGGCUGUCGU